rnacentral:RNase_P_RNA from 1 species
UGAGUCAUUCGGGUGACCGCAGUGCAGAGAUGCAUUGAGGAAAGUCGGGACUUCACAGGGCACAGUGCUGGCGAGAGCCAGGUCGGGGCGACCUGACGGACAGUGCAACAGAGAGCAAACCGCCGAUGGAUGGAGACAUCACAGGCAAGGGUGAAACGGUGCGGUAAGAGCGCACCAGCACCGGCAGCGAUGCCGGUGGCUAGGUAAACCCCACUGGAAGCAAGGCCAAGCAGGGGGUGGGCUGCCCGCCCGCCGUACGGCAACCCCCGGGUAGGCCGCAGAGAUGGAUGGUCACCACCCACCUCGUGGGCACAGAAUCCCGCUUACAGAAUGGCUCACCGU